CAGAAAUUCUCAUAUAUAAUAACCAGAAAGAUGGACGAUAGGUGACAAAGUGGACUUAACCUUAGAUGCUGGUUCUACCAGAGAGCUACUUAUGCUGAUAUCAUGCUGGAGACCUCAAGUAAUGGAAAAAGCCUAUUGCAACGCAUCUGUUGGUGUUGAAGCCACUAUUUUGGGAGACUCCCAAGUUUUUUAACGAUCCUUAACAGUGAAAAACCGAGUUAAAGAAGAGGAGAAUAAAUACCUAGCUAAAUAUUUCAUACAGCGUUAAUCGUAACAAGAGUUUUAAAGAUAUGCAAAAUUUUAGAAGUAUAGUUUACAACUUUACACUAGUCGAUAUUUGCAAUUGCAUGUGCACAUAUUCCCAAACAUUUAUUUUGAAUAUAAUAAAAUGUGAAUACUAAAUAGUGUAACAUCGUUUUCAACAGGAAACUAACUGUUACUUGACAUACAAUUUUUUGGUGAUCCUUUCAUACAAUUUUACUUUGCUUGUAGAGCUUCAAGAAAUUACACUUAUAAAUGGAAAGAAGCGAUUAUUAUACGACGGAUACGUGUACGCAUACUGUUUAAAAUAUGCAAGAAAUGAAUUCCAUCGUUGGCGUUGCGACAAAACCAAUAUGUGCACGGCCUAUAUCAUCGUCACUGAAAAUGGGAAACUAAUAAAGCAAAGUGGCAAGCACAAGCACGAUAGAAGGGUUUAUAGGCGCACAUCGGAAGGCAGAUAUUUUUCUGUGUAAAUCAAUAUGAAAUUCGAGUGUGGUGAGAUUAGUCUAAAGAUCUGAAGAAGAAAAGUCAGGAAGAAGAUAUUUAACAUAACAAACAAUAACAAAAAGAAUCUCGACCGUUUCGUAUUGUGUCGCACCACAGAAAAAACUAAUGAAUAAAGAAGGAUUUGUUUAUCGGAACUGAUAAAGUACAAAGAAUUACUACAGAAAAGGGCAAAACACUAUACAUGUACAAAGGAUACACGUACAACUACCAUUUCAAGUGCCAGGGUGGCACCAGACUCCGCUGCACGUCCAAUUGCAAGGCGUACAUUACCGUGGAUACUGAUGGGAAAAUAAUAGUAGCUGCUGGGGAGCAUAAGCACGCUACCCCGGGUUACUAUAAGACGGAUGAUGGGACAUAUAUUAAAAUAUAGCCUAAGCGCUGUUAAGAAAAGAAGGUUACUCGAACAUACUAGAGAUAUAAAGUCCUCAAAUACUUUGUCGACCAACUUGACUUGGUUGGUUGGUUUGUUUGUAAUUGGGAUGAGGCAUAGGAUAAAAGAUAUUUAUAUGCAAUUAAAUUUUAUUUAAUUAUAACUUAAUGUUAGGCCUUGUUUUAUUUUGAAUUCUUCUUCUUCUUCCCCGUCGAGUUACUCUUGGCAGAGCAGUUGUGGUCACGUUGAACGACGAAGAUUCUACGCCAGUUCUCUCUGGCAGAUGAUUUUCUAGCACAUAUGUUAAGUGGGGUGUUAAGUCUCUCCAUGCCAUGGCCAUUUUUAAUUAAGAUCAUUUAAACUACCUAAGUCAGCAUUUUCCAAACUAUGGGUCGCGAUCCCGUGGUGGGUAACGAGUCGCGAGCGAAUAUUAUAUGCAUAUAUGCCAAAUGUAGCAAUCGUUCAAGUGGGUCGCAGCCCAGUAAACUUUAGGAAUCCCUUUGGGGGAUUUUUUUUACACUAUUAGUAUUUAGCAUGUCCACCCUGUAUAGGGAAGAACUUCUGUUAGAAUGGCUGUGAAGUAGUUAUCUAAGGACGUUUCAAAGUUACAGUAGUCUUUCGUUUCUUGUAGAUUCAGUAAAAACUGAGAAAGGAGAGAAGAAAAUGAAAAGAAAAUGGGACCACAUACAUUUACAAACUGCGAUAAACAAGGUUCUAACUAAAGAACUUAGUAUAAGAGAAGCAUCGUCACGCUACAACAUUCCAAAAAGCACUCUACACACUAAAACAUUGGAAUCGAAACGCGGCGAAAUAAAAAUAUUUAGACCAAAUAUAGGAAGAUUUACUAACACGUUUUCACCCGAGUAUGAACAAAUUUUAGUAGACUACUUAAAAGAUUUAUCUAAUAGAUGUGAACCGUUCGUGAAAAGAGAUUUUUUGAAGUUUGCUUUCGACUUGGCUGAAUCUAUGAAGAUCCCUCAUCGUUUUAACAAAGAGAAAGGUGUUGCUGGAAAACAUUUUUACUAUGAUUUUUUGCAAAGGCAUCCCGAUGUAGCGGCUUUUACCAACGGCCUGUAGUAAAUUACUAGAGACUAUUUUCAGAAACUGGCAACCCAUUCGGCAUUAAUCACGACACGUUGUCUUUUUGCCAUUACAAAGCAUUUCCGCCACAUACUGGGAAAUCCAUGUUAUCGGUGAUAACGUAGCGCAACUACCGUAGCUCAGCGUUGAAUGUGUUAAAUCACAAUUGGACACGUCCAAUAGCAAGGCGUAUUAUAAUCACUGUGAAUACUGAUGGGAUGAUAACAGUAGCUGCUGGGGAGCACAAACACUUCUACCAUGGGUUACUAUAAGAUGGAUGAUGGGACAUAUGUUAUAAUAUAUACCUACUUAAAUCUUAGGUGUAAGUUGCGAAAAAAGACUUUUUGAAGUUUGCUUUUGACUUGGCUGAAUAUAUGAAUACCCCACACCGUUAUAACAAAAAGAGGGUCUUGCUGGGAAACAUUUCUACUACGAUUUUAUGCAAAGGCAUCCUGAUGCUGUGGCUCUUACGCCGGUGGCGUUUAGUAUUUAUAGUAUUUACUAAACUUCUAUUGAUUUUGGUUUUAAAUUUUCGUUAAUAAACUUAUAUUAUCUUAAA